CGUGCCUCCGAAGAUCCAUGUACCACUCGUACUGCUCCUGAGGCACUCCCCUAUCUUUCAUCCUGAAAAUUAAGAUAACCCCCCAGCAGUAUAUCGUGUUAUCAACAAUUCUUAUGUUGGUAAAGGAGCACAGUUCUGCGCAAGAGCAUCGUAUAGAUUGCCUUAGUUUCUUGGCAAAAGAAGACAGCAGAUUGGGUAGCUCACCUUUUGCUCAGUAAAUCAAUUCGUUCCUCACUUUGGCUACCCGUCAGAAGUCUUCCGACCUGCAAACCAGACGCGCAGAACGGAUUUAGGACCAGGGCUACUAAUUCUUGAAUGAGAGCAACUGGGAAUCUCUUCUUAUAUGAAUUCGUGCUAACAAGGUUAAAGAAAAGAAGAAAGGAAAAGCAACACCUUACCUUCGGAAGGACCAUAUCGAAAGCAGCCACUGUCUCUCCAUCAUCAUUUUGGCGUACGUAAAAUGGCUUUACUUCUUUUGGAUAAUUGUAGACGAUCACGGGGCUCUUAUGAAUCUCAUCCGCCAAGUAGCUGUCAUAACAUAAACAGGAGCUACAUUCACUGGAAAAGAAAGGUCCUUUCCAAGGUAAUCGACAGGUCUAUAUUACCGCCACUAUCUACAGUACCUGAGAUGUUCUGCGGUUAGAGCACCACCCUCUUCAAUUUUCAUUUCCUUAUUAUCUGCGGCCUAGAAGCAAAACCAGAACAUUAGUGAGACUCAGAUUUGACAGCGCCCGCUCUACGUGUAUUUGCAUUUUGACAAAUAAGAUGAUGAGGCGUAGACUAACCUUUUUCAAAGCCUCCACUGCUUCUCUGUAGGUGAUCUUGACAGAUGGUUUCGACAGUAUUGAUUGAAGGCGAUCUAUGCUUGCUUUGUCAA